AAUAUUACAUAGGUAGUUUAAAAAAAAAACAGUAUCUCCCUAUUAUAAUAAAUUUUGUUAGAAUAAAAUAUACAGUAUCUCCAUAGAAAUGGAUAUACUGUAAAUUUGCUUCUGAUAGUGCUUAUAAAAUAAGCAGUAAGUCCAUUUUAAUGGUCAAGGAAUUAACGAAAAUAUUUAAAAACUCAUAAAAUCAAUUCUAUGAUAUAAAAUUAGUAUAUACACGUUUAUUUUAGGAUCGUAUGUUAAUUAUACUUGGUGCACGGAUCAGUAAUGAGUCUAAACCUGUUUAGUCGAUUUCCCAACAUUUUGCUUAGAUGGAGAUACUGCUUUUUCGCUAAGCACGGCAGAGUAAGCUGUGUACGAUUGUAUUACGCGUGAUUUAGAAAAUAAUAUUUUAUAAAGUCCGUUCGCGUGUUUGGUCGUUUCAGACUAUGGACGGGUGAAACGUACCCAGUUGCAGUUUGAUUAUAUUGCAAUCGAUCAAAAUGAAAACAUCGGUUACAAUUAUUGUUAAGGAAUUCCCAAAUUCAAUAUUAUUUAUAACCGACUAAUAAUAACAUUUAAUUACGUCGAGAUACUAUUGCCCGUAUCGGUAUUUCUAUAGGUUUUUCAUUGAUGAGUUAUUUUUAGAAUGUUUUUACCAAAUUCCUCGUGACCCGCACAAUGGUUAUUAACGAUAUGAAUAUUAUUUAUUAUCAAAUUAUAAUGUUAUAUUUAUAUCGCCUGUGACAAUCGCCAAUUGUGUUGACGUUCAAAUAAUUCAAUCGAACAAAAAUAAUAAACCGAGACGUGAAUAGAAAGACAAGUCGUUAAGCAGUAAAUAAUAUAACUUAAACUCGCACAUUUCGUUACGUUCGGGUUAUUUUCAUCAAAUAUUUCGAUACUUUCAAGUUUCAGUUCGGAGCGGGACAAAGGCAGCUGUUUCUUCGGCGGCGGACAUCUGAACGUCUGGUCCUUGAUACAUAUGACACAGCUCUACGUUUCGUCGGAAGAGUCCGUGUUUACGCAUUCUUCAACCGUAUGACUGCAGUGUGUCAAUGGGACUGGAUCAUCUGGAUCAUUGUCACCUAAAUUAAUAAAAUGAAUAUUGUUAAUUCAUAAGUAAAAUAAAACAGCUUACAUAGUA